AACGAACGCUGGCGGCAGGCUUAACACAUGCAAGUCGAGCGCCCCGCAAGGGGAGCGGCAGACGGGUGAGUAACGCGUGGGAAUCUACCCAUCUCUACGGAAUAACGCAUGGAAACGUGUGCUAAUACCGUAUACGUCCUUCGGGAGAAAGAUUUAUCGGAGAUGGAUGAGCCCGCGUUGGAUUAGCUAGUUGGUGGGGUAAAGGCCUACCAAGGCGACGAUCCAUAGCUGGUCUGAGGGGAUGAUCAGCCACACUGGGACUGAGACACGGCCCAGACUCCUACGGGAUGCAGCAGUGGGGAAUAUUGGACAAUGGGCGCAAGCCUGAUCCAGCCAUGCCGCGUGAGUGAUGAAGGCCCUAGGGUUGUAAAGCUCUUUCACCGGUGAAGAUAAUGACGGUAACCGGAGAAGAAGCCCCGGCUAACUUCGUGCCAGCCGCCGCUGUAAUAC
rnacentral:rRNA from 1 species